ACUUAGGUAGCACAGUGGUUAGUGCAGUCUGCCGGAAACGAACAGACGCGGGUUCAAUUCCCGUCCGAUGUC
rnacentral:tRNA from 1 species